rnacentral:rRNA from 1 species
AUUGAACGCUGGCGGCAGGCCUAACACAUGCAAGUCGAGCGGAUGAAGGGAGCUUGCUCCUGGAUUCAGCGGCGGACGGGCGAGUAAUGCCUAGGAAUCUGCCUGGUAGUGGGGGAUAACGUCCGGAAACGGGCGCUAAUACCGCAUACGUCCUGAGGGAGAAAGUGGGGGAUCUUCGGACCUCACGCUAUCAGAUGAGCCUAGGUCGGAUUAGCUAGUUGGUGGGGUAAAGGCCUACCAAGGCGACGAUCCGUAACUGGUCUGAGAGGAUGAUCAGUCACACUGGAACUGAGACACGGUCCAGACUCCUACGGGAGGCAGCAGUGGGGAAUAUUGGACAAUGGGCGAAAGCCUGAUCCAGCCAUGCCGCGUGUGUGAAGAAGGUCUUCGGAUUGUAAAGCACUUUUAGUUGGGAGGAAGGGCAGUAAGUUAAUACCUUGCUGUUUUGACGUUACCAACAGAAUAAGCACCGGCUAACUUCGUG